rnacentral:rRNA from 1 species
UACGGGGGGGGCAAGCGUUGUUCGGAAUUACUGGGCGUAAAGGGCUCGUAGGCGGCCAACUAAGUCAGACGUGAAAUCCCUCGGCUUAACCGGGGAACUGCGUCUGAUACUGGAUGGCUUGAAUCCGGGAGAGGGGUGCGGAAUUCCAGGUGUAGCGGUGAAAUGCGUAGAUAUCUGGAGGAACACCGGUGGCGAAGGCGGCAUCCUGGACCGGCAUUGACGCUGAGGAGCGAAAGCCAGGGGAGCAAACAGG